CCAUUAUUUAAUAAUAAUUAAUGUCUAAAUAAUACAACAUAAAUGAAAAAAUAUCAAACGAAAAAAGAAACAGGACUACGUUUUUCGUGGCAACGUUAAUCCGGUUUAAUGACAAGCAAGUAAUUUUUACAUCAUGAUGUAUAUUUUAUCACUAAAUUUUAAAUAAACAUCUCUUGGUCAACCACCAUGGGUGAUUAACACACGUGUGAUUUUGUAUUUUGAAAAUUUUCAAAUCAAUUUGUAUCAGUGUUUUAACUCACACGCGAUAGUUUUUAAAAUGACGAAAAUAUCGAUCAACAACAGACUCAAAUGCUAUAUUCGUUAUAUUGAAUUUGGAGUCAAGUUCUUAUUGGCGGUGCUGUUAUUUGCGCGUAUCAACGGGAAUGAUGUAGGGAGUACAAUAUCUUCUUGACAUGCCGGUACGUGUACGUAGCCACAUUUGAUUCGGUCGUUAUUUCGGAUAAAGUCAAAAUUUUUAGUGCGUUUAAACAAAUCACAGUAAAAAAAAGACAUCGACAUGAGUAACAAAGAAAUUAUCACGAUUGCUGGAGGAAUUGGUGGAAUGCAGUUAUCGAGUGCGAUGUGGGAAUCAUUUUGUCAUGAAUAUGGUAUUGAUGCUAACGGUCAACAGCGCGUACCACAACCGGAUGUAUCAAUGAGAUCAUUUUUUGAAGAAACAGAGGAAAGGAUCAUACCGCGUAAUAUAAUGGUUUAUCCUCACGAUGACAUUUCGAUUAUGACAGGCCACGAUGUAACGUGGCAACCAACGUUAUACCAUCCGGAUUCUAUAAUUGGUCUCAGAAAUAAUUUUAAUGAGGCAUUCUUUCCACAAGGUUAUUUUCUCGAUCAAGAAGGACUAGAAAGAACGUUAAACCGUAUUCGAAUAAUGUGCGAACAAUGUUCAAAUCUGGAUGGAUUUAUAAUUUGCAGGCAGUACUCUGAGCAUAUCAAUGGAUUCAUAUCGAGACUACUGGAAAACUUUACGGAGGACUAUAAAAAAAAAACUAAAAUAGAUUACGCAAAAGUUCCCCCGCCUAGUUCAAUUAAUUGUCACACCCGCACGGCAGUGCUUAACACUUUUUUCACUUUAUCCGACUGCAUGAAAAACAUAGACUGUUGUAUCAUAGCAGACAAUUCUGCACUAAGAAAAAUAUACACAGAGAAACUGCAUCAGAACGUAGGAGAAAAUUACUAUUACAUCUAUUCCGUGUACAACCGCGUAUUAGCACAAGCCUUUUCUACUAUUACCUCACCGUUAAGAUUUCGUUCGACGAACAACUGGAGUCUGGAUAAUUAUAAAGUUCUUGUACCGCAUAAACAAAUACCUUUUGUUGCAAUGUCUUACGCACCGUUUGUUACUAUUGAAAGAUUGGAGCUUCACAAUCAAUUAAUUGCAGACGUUACAAACGAAUGUUUGGAUCCUGCUAAUCAAACGUUGUCGUAUAAUCCACGUAACGGGGCUUAUAUCAGCAGUUUGCUUGUAUAUCGCGGUUCUGAAGUGAUACAAACAGACGUUACGACUAUGGUUGCCAACAUAAACGAUCAAUGCAAACAAGGCGUAGAUAUGCGCCGUGCCAAUGGUAUCGAAAACCCAUUUCAGGGUACGUCUGUUCGAACUGGUACUGCCGCGGUUGAGAGUACUUACAUAGCAUGUCCAAUCCAAUCGGUUGCAAGUUGCAGCAACAAUACCGAUCUUUAUUAUUACUGGAAAGCGUUAGCAGUUAAUGCGGAAGAUGCGCUCUACGAUAAAACUCGUCACUCCGAAGAACAAUUGAACACACUUGAUCAAAUCAAAUCUUGUUACAAUUAUAUAAACAGUACUAUGAACCGUAACUACGACUAUAAAGUGGAAUUAAAGAAUGUUAACGAAUGUCUGCUUAAUAUGUUAGACCUAUAUGCGGACUACGAUUGCAAAAUACAGCAUGAUCGACGUUUCUCAGGUUUCGUGCAUCAUGGUUUCUCAUGAUCGAUAUCAAGUGUGAUAAGAAAAGAAACGUUCCCAGCGAACGUGAACCCGCGCUGAGAGCAACUUUGACUGAUCGGUUAAGCCGAUUCUUUUUCGCCGCUCCCAUUUUUAAGUGACAUUAAACGUUUUGCGCACCAGAUGUUAUCUUUACGUCAGAAAAAAUUUUCGUCCAUGUUUGAAACAGUGAUCAACCUAAAAGACACAGUGUCCGUCGCAGAGAGGAGCGUGGAAAAGGCGCGCUGCUGGCCUUCGAGAAAAUGUUAUCUUGCAGAUCAUAUCGCACCAACUCUUGCGUUGUUAAAAUAAAUU